CGUCUAUCUAUCUGGUGAAGUGAUGACUCGAACCCACGAAACAAACAAGACGGGUUCGAGCCGAGGCGGGCGCAGCCUGCCGAGACAACGUCGGAGCGUAAGCGACGACGGCCCGCAGGGCGAGGCGCAAAGCGCCGAGUAAUCCCACCCUCUCCGCCA
rnacentral:sRNA from 1 species